GAUGAACGCUGGCGGCGUGCCUAAUACAUGCAAGUCGAGCGAACAGAUGAGGAGCUUGCUCCUCUGACGUUAGCGGCGGACGGGUGAGUAACACGUGGAUAACCUACCUAUAAGACUGGGAUAACUUCGGGAAACCGGAGCUAAUACCGGAUAAUAUAUUGAACCGCAUGGUUCAAUAGUGAAAGACGGUUUUGCUGUCACUUAUAGAUGGAUCCGCGCCGCAUUAGCUAGUUGGUAAGGUAACGGCUUACCAAGGCAACGAUGCGUAGCCGACCUGAGAGGGUGGUCGGCCACACUGGAACUGAGACACGGUCCAGACUCCUACGGGAGGACGCAGUAGGGAAUCUUCCGCGAUGGGCGAAAGCCUGACGGAGCAACGCCGCGUGAGUGAUGAAGGUCUUCGGAUCGUAAAACUCUGUUAUUAGGGAAGAACAAAUGUGUAAGUAACUAUGCACGUCUUGACGGUACCUAAUCAGAAAGCCACGGCUAACUACGUG
rnacentral:rRNA from 1 species